UACGUAGGGAGCAAGCGUUGUCCGGAAUCAUUGGGCGUAAAGCGCGCGUAGGCGGCCCUGUAAGUCCGUUGUGAAAGUCAAAGGCUCAACCUUUGAAAGCCGAUGGAUACUGCAGGGCUAGAGUCCGGAAGAGGCGAGUGGAAUUCUUGGUGUAGCGGUGAAAUGCGUAGAUAUCAAGAGGAACACCUGCGGCGAAGGCGGGUUGCUGGGCCGACACUGACGCUGAUGCGCGAAAGCCAGGGGAGCGAACGGG
rnacentral:rRNA from 1 species